rnacentral:rRNA from 1 species
GAUGAACGCUGGCGGCGUGCCUAAUACAUGCAAGUCGAGCGAACAGACGAGGAGCUUGCUCCUCUGACGUUAGCGGCGGACGGGUGAGUAACACGUGGAUAACCUACCUAUAAGACUGGGAUAACUUCGGGAAACCGGAGCUAAUACCGGAUAAUAUAUUGAACCGCAUGGUUCAAUAGUGAAAGACGGUUUUGCUGUCACUUAUAGAUGGAUCCGCGCCGCAUUAGCUAGUUGGUAAGGUAACGGCUUACCAAGGCGACGAUGCGUAGCCGACCUGAGAGGGUGAUCGGCCACACUGGAACUGAGACACGGUCCAGACUCCUACGGGAGGCAGCAGUAGGGAAUCUUCCGCAAUGGGCGAAAGCUUGACGGAGCAACGCCGCGUGAGUGAUGAAGGUCUUCGGAUCGUAAAACUCUGUUAUUAGGGAAGAACAAAUGUGUAAGUAACUAUGCACGUCUUGACGGUACCUAAUCAGAAAGCCACGGCUUACUACGUG